rnacentral:rRNA from 1 species
ACGGAAGGCAGCAGUGGGGAAUAUUGCACAAUGGGGGAAACCCUGAUGCAGCGACGCCGCGUGAGUGAAGAAGUAUUUCGGUAUGUAAAGCUCUAUCAGCAGGAAAGAAAAUGACGGUACCUGACUAAGAAGCCCCGGCUAACUACGUGCCAGCAGCCGCGGUAAUACGUAGGGGGCAAGCGUUAUCCGGAUUUACUGGGUGUAAAGGGAGCGUAGACGGCUUUGCAAGUCUGAAGUGAAAGCCCGGGGCUCAACCCCGGAACUGCUUUGGAAACUGUAGAGCUAGAGUGCAGGAGAGGUAAGUGGAAUUCCUAGUGUAGCGGUGAAAUGCGUUGAUAUUAGGAGGAACACCAGUGGCGAAGGCGGCUUACUGGACUGUAACUGACGUUGAGGCUCGAAGGCGUGGGGAGCAAACAGGAUUAGAUACCCUGGUA